UUUGAACGCACAUUGCGCCCUCUGGUAUUCCAGAGGGCAUGCCUGUUUGAGCGUC
rnacentral:rRNA from 1 species